rnacentral:snoRNA from 1 species
CUAAUAUGAUGUGACCUUGAUGACGAGUCCGAUGGGUUCGCCCGGUGACGACUGCAUCAAUAUUAUCCAUUCAUGCCAACUGAUA